CUGGAUUUAACUACACAAAGAAAGGUCAGAGACUGCAACGCCAUCAUUCUCACAGAGACAUGGCUCAAUAACUCCGUUUCGGACAACUCCAUUCAGCUGGACGGACUAACAACAUUCAGGGCGGACAGGAGUCAUGCUCUAUUCUGUAAAUCUCGGGGAGGUGGUGUAUGCAUUUUCAUCAAUAACAACUGGUGUACAAAUGCUGUAAUUGUCUCAAGCCACUGUUCUGAGGACAUAGAAUUUCUGACAAUUAAAAUUGCGACCAUUGUACAUGCCAAGGGAAUUCACAGCCAUUAACAUCACAGCUGUGUACAUUCCACCCAGUGCGAACACAAAAGACGCACUGUCUACAGUGUAUCAGUCUAUCAGCUCAAUGCAGAACUUUAACCUGGACUAUGUCUACAUAAUCGCUGGCGAUUUCAAUCAGGCCAAACUGAAGACAGUACUACCACAUUAUGACAAACAUGUGAACUUUGCAACCAGGGGAAAUAACAUACUCGACCGCGGUGUCGGAGCCUUGCGGGAACAUUUCAAGCUACUACCGGAUGAAUAAUACGCCUGCCCUGCGGUCAGUCAUCCCAACAGAGAAGUCCAAGAAGCUUGCGCUCCUGUUGUUUCGUUUUCCUCCAGAUGUUCCAGACAGAUUGGACCAGUGGAAGUGAAACAUGAGAGCAAAGAUGCCCGGAAGGACCUGCCUGAAGGACUCCACUGUGCUGUCCAUGUUCUGUGGAGCAAAGAAGACCAAAGAAGAAAAAUGAAUCACUCGGUUCUUCUUUUAAAAUAUAUUUAAAUCACACAAACCUGUUAUUG